rnacentral:rRNA from 1 species
UCAGCGACUUAUAUUCUGUAGCAAGGUUAACCGAAUAGGGGAGCCGGAGGGAAACCGAGUCUUAAUUGGGCGUUAAGUUGCAGGGUAUAGACCCGAAACCCGGUGAUCUAGCCAUGGGCAGGUUGAAGGUUGGGUAACACUAACUGGAGGACCGAACCGACUAAUGUUGAAAAAUUAGCGGAUGACCUGUGGCUGGGGGUGAAAGGCCAAUCAAACCGGGAGAUAGCUGGUUCUCCCCGAAAGCUAUUUAGGUAGCGCCUCGUGAAUUCAUCUCCGGGGGUAGAGCACUGUUUCGGCUAGGGGGCCAUCCCGGCUUACCAACCCGAUGCAAACUGCGAAUACCGGAGAAUGUUAUCACGGGAGACACACGGCGGGUGCUAACGUCCGUCGUGAAGAGGGAAACAACCCAGACCGCCAGCUAAGGUCCCAAAGUCAUGGUUAAGUGGGAAACGAUGUGGGAAGGCCCAGACAGCCAGGAUGUUGGCUUAGAAGCAGCCAUCAUUUAAAGAAAGCGUAAUAGCUCACUGGUCGAGUCGGCCUGCGCGGAAGAUGUAACGGGGCUAAACCAUGCACCGAAGCUGCGGCAGCGACGCUUAUGCGUUGUUGGGUAGGGGAGCGUUCUGUAAGCCUGCGAAGGUGGCCUGUGAGGGUUGCUGGAGGUAUCAGAAGUGCGAAUGCUGACAUAAGUAACGAUAAAGCGGGUGAAAAGCCCGCUCGCCGGAAGACCAAGGGUUCCUGUCCAACGUUAAUCGGGGCAGGGUGAGUCGACCCCUAAGGCGAGGCCGAAAGGCGUAGUCGAUGGGAAACGGGUUAAUAUUCCCGUACUUGGUGUUACUGCGAAGGGGGGACGGAGAAGGCUAUGUUGGCCGGGCGACGGUUGUCCCGGUUUAAGCGUGUAGGCUGGUUUUCCAGGCAAAUCCGGAAAAUCAAGGCUGAGGCGUGAUGACGAGGCACUACGGUGCUGAAG